CAGGAUGAACGCUGGCGGCGCGCUAACACAUGCAAGUCGAACGGUUAAAGCACCUCCGGGUGUGCAUAAAGUGGCGAACGGCUGAGUAACACGUGGGCAACCUGCCCCCCGCACCGGGAUAGCCUCGGGAAACCGUGGGUAAUACCCGGAUACUCCGCCACCCCCGCAUGGGGGAGGCGGGAAAGCGUACACGGCGGGGGAUGGGCCCGCGGCCUGUUAGCUCGUUGGCGGGGUAACGGCCCACCAAGGCGAUUAUGGGUAGCCGGGUUGAGAGACCGACCGGCCAGAUUGGGACUGAGACACGGCCCAGACUCCUACGGGAGGCAGCAGUGGGGAAUCUUGCACAAUGGGCGAAAGCCUGAUGCCAGCGACGCCGCGUGCGGGAAGAAGGCCCUCGGGUUGUAAACCGCUUUCAGCAGGGACGAGGCGCAAGUGACGGUACCUGCAGAAGAAGCCCCGGCUAACUACGUGCCAGCCGCAGC
rnacentral:rRNA from 1 species